AGAACGUGAUUGUGUUCGUCGUUUCUUCUUCGCUUUGUGAUUCGAAUAUAUAAUCAUCCUCUUCUUUGUUUUUUAUCUUUACAGGACCGUUAAAGAGACUACCUCCCUAAUCAACAUGAACGACGGGUGCGACUGCUGCGACAGCAGCUGCUCGUGUGACGGGUGUGGCUGCUGCUGAUGAGCGAGCUAGCUGGAGAGGAGAUGGAUGAAGCCCUUAAACAACAAAGCUUGUGAAAUGGAAUAAAGUUAUGGAUCAAUAUGCAAAGUUCAUCUGUUUUUGCUUCUUUGUUUUGUACUUUGUUUGAGUCUAUGAUGGCUGCUUGAAAUCUAGUGUGAAGAAUUAUGUAAGUGCUUUGUUGUGGGCUGUGGGUGCCUUGUUUUAUAUA